UGCCUUCCUGGAGUGAAGGACUUUCACAGCCCAGCUCUCUGGUAUGGACCCAAUGUCACUGACUACUGAUUCUGCUCAGGCCUCUGGAAAGCCCCUUUGGAAGUUGGGUGUAGCCAUGUGGCUUUCUUGAAUCAGUGAAAUGUGAGCAAAUUGAUGGUGUCGCUUCUGGGCAGAAGUGGUGAGAUCCAGGAAUCCGACAGGCCACCCACCCACUCCCUGCAUUCUCAUUUCCUGCCUUGGUAAUUGUAAAAGGAUGUUCUGUGAUGUUGUUGCCUGAAUUAGGCAGGGACAAUAAAUACAUUUUUUGGACGGGU
rnacentral:lncRNA from 1 species